GAAAGUAAAGAAGGGCGCAUGGCGGAUGCCUUGGCUCUCGGAGGCGAUGAAGGACGUGAUAAGCUGCGAUAAGCUUUGGGGAGGUGCAAAUGACCUUUGAUCCAGAGAUUUCCGAAUGGGACAACCCAAUAUCUUGAAGAGGUAUUAUCCAACGUUGUUGGAGGCUAACGCAGGGAACUGAAACAUCUUAGUACCUGCAGGAAAAGAAAAUAAACAAUGAUUCCCCCAGUAGUGGCGAGCGAACGGGGAACAGCCCAAACCAUCCAUGUUACGGCAUGGGUGGGGUUGUAGGACUACGCCGUUGCAUGAAGACAUCAGAGAAGAACUUUCUGGAAAGAAAGACCAUAGAGCAUGACAGUUGCGUAUUCGAAUGUUGUCGAAGCAUAGUAGUAUCCUGAGUAGCGCGGAGCACGAGGAAUUCUGCGUGAAUCUGCCGGGACCAUCCGGUAAGGCUAAAUACUCCCGAGAGACCGAUAGCGAACCAGUACCGUGAGGGAAAGGUGAAAAGCACUUCGAACAGAAGAGUGAAAUAGUUCCUGAAACCGUGCGCCUACAAGCGGUCGGAGCUCGUUAAUGAGUGACGGCGUGCCUUUUGCAUAAUGAACCUACGAGUUGCCUUUGCCGGCAAGGUUAAGUGUGACGACACACGUAUCCGAAGCGAAAGCGAGUCUGAACAGGGCGUAUAGUCGGCAGUGGCAGACGCGAAACCAAGUGAUCUACCCUUGGCCAGGUUGAAGGCUGGGUAACACCAGCUGGAGGACCGCACCAAUAAGCGUUGAAAAGCUUCUGGAUGAGCUGAGGGUAGGGGUGAAAGGCUAAUCAAACUUGGAGAUAGCUCGUACUCCCCGAAAUGCAUUUAGGUGCAGCCUUGCGGGUUACUGAUGUGAGGUAGAGCGACUGAUAAGAUGCGAGGGCUUCACCGCCUAUCAAGUCUUGACAAACUCCGAAUGCGCAUCAGUUCUACCGCAGGAGUGAGGGCAUGGGUGCUAAGGUCCGUGCCCGAGAGGAGAAGAAUCCGGACCACCUGCUAAGGUCCCGAAAUGACAGCUAAGUUAAACUAACGAAGUCUGACUGCUAAGACAGCUAGGAUGUUGGCUUGGAAGCAGCCAUUCAUUUAAAGAGUGCGUAACAGCUCACUAGUCGAGGAGUCGGGCGUGGAUAAUAAUCGGGUAUUAAGUUGUCUACCGAAGCAGUGGGAUCAUUGAUAUGAUCGGUAGGGGAGCAUUCCAGUCGGCGUCGAAGGCGUACCGUGAGGUAUUCUGGAGCGUCUGGAAAAGCAAAUGUAGGUAUAAGUAACGAUAAAGGGGGCGGGAAACCCCCUCGCCGAAAGACUAAGGUUUCCUGAUCAACGCUAAUCGGAUCAGGGUCAGUCGGGUCCUAAGGCUCAGCCGAACGGCGAUGCCGAUGGCAGAAACGGUUAAUAUUCCGUUACUACCUUCAGGAGUGACGUGGAGACGCAGUAGUGACAGUGCCGCCAUCUGACGGAAUAGAUGGUUGAAGGGUGUAGGAGUCGAUCAUGGCAGGCAAAUCCACCAUGAGAUCCGAACCUGAUAGUAUGCCGCGUCCUUCGGGACAAGGCAAUAGUGCGCGUAAGCAUGCUGCCGAGAAAAUCCGCUAAACUUAAUCCUGCAGGUACCCGUACCGCAAACGGACACACGUAGUCGGGAUGAAUAUUCUAAGGCGCUUGAGUGAUUCACGGUUAAGGAACUAGGCAAACUGACCCUGUAACUUCGGGAUAAAGGGUCCCUACCCUUUUAUGGGAGGGCGCAGAGAAUCGGUCCAGGCAACUGUUUAACAAAAACACAGGGCUGUGCCAAAUCGAAAGAUCCAGUAUACAGCCUGACACCUGCCCGGUGCUGGAAGGUUAAGAGGAGAUGUCAUCGAUAAGAGAAGCGUUGAAUUGAAGCCCCAGUAAACGGCGGCCGUAACUAUAACGGUCCUAAGGUAGCGAAAUUCCUUGUCGGGUAAGUUCCGACCUGCACGAAUGGUGUAAUGAUCUGGACGCUGUCUCAACCGUGAGCUCAGUGAAAUUGUAGUAUCGGUGAAGAUGCCGAUUACCCGCGAUGGGACGAAAAGACCCCGUGAACCUUUACUAUAGCUUAUCAUUGAAUCUGGGCACGUGAUGUGUAGGAUAGGUCGGAGGCUUUGAAGCAGGUACGCCAGUAUUUGUGGAGCCGCUGUUGAAAUACGACCCUUUAUUUGUUUGGAUUCUAACCCGUGGAACGGGGACAUUGAUUGGUGGGUAGUUUGACUGGGGUGGUCGCCUCCAAAAGCGUAACGGAGGCUUCUAAAGGUGCCCUCCGGCCGAUUGGUAACCGGCCUUAGAGUGUAAUGGCAUAAGGGCGCUUGACUGGGAGACUGACAAGUCGAUCAGGUAGGAAACUAGAGCAUAGUGAUCCGGUGUUUCCGUAUGGAAGGGACAUCGCUCAAAGGAUAAAAGGUACUCCGGGGAUAACAGGCUGAUCCCUCCCAAGAGCUCAUAUCGACGGAGUGGUUUGGCACCUCGAUGUCGGCUCGUCACAUCCUGGGGCUGGAGAAGGUCCCAAGGGUUGGGCUGUUCGCCCAUUAAAGUGGCACGCGAGCUGGGUUCAGAACGUCGUGAGACAGUUCGGUCUCUAUCUAUCGUGGGCGCAUGAAAUUUGCGUGGCUCUGACACUAGUACGAGAGGACCGUGUUGGACAGACCUCUGGUUUGCCGGUUGUGCCGCCAGGUGCAUUGCCGGGUAUCUAAGUCUGGAUCGGAUAAGUGCUGAAAGCAUCUAAGUACGAAGCCGGCCACAAGAUUAGAUUUCUCAGGGUCGUUGUAGACUACGACGUUGAUAGGAUGCAGGUGUAAAGAUGGAGACAUCAAAGCCGAGCAUUACUAAUUGCCCGUUCACUUUCUUUA
rnacentral:rRNA from 1 species